rnacentral:rRNA from 1 species
ACGCGAUGAACCUUACCAGGUCUUGACAUCCCAUUGACCGCUAUGGAGACAUAGCUUUCCCUUCGGGGACAGUGGUGACAGGUGGUGCAUGGUUGUCGUCAGCUCGUGUCGUGAGAUGUUGGGUUAAGUCCCGCAACGAGCGCAACCCUUGUUCUUAGUUGCCAGCAUUCAGUUGGGCACUCUAAGGUGACUGCCGGUGACAAACCGGAGGAAGGUGGGGAUGACGUCAAAUCAUCAUGCCCCUUAUGACCUGGGCUACACACGUGCUACAAUGGAUGGUACAAAGGGCUGCAAGACCGCGAGGUUUAGCCAAUCCCAUAAAACCAUUCUCAGUUCGGAUUGCAGGCUGCAACUCGCCUGCAUGAAGCUGGAAUCGCUAGUAAUCGCGGAUCAGCAUGCCGCGGUGAAUACGUUCCCGGGCCUUGCACACACCGCCCGU